rnacentral:rRNA from 1 species
GACGAACCGUGCGAACGUUAUUCGGAAUCACUGGGCUUAAAGGGCGCGUAGGCGGACAGGUAAGUCAGGGGUGAAAGCCCACGGCUCAACCGUGGAAGGGCCUUUGAUACUGCCUGUCUUGAGGGAGGUAGGGGCGUGCGGAACUUCCGGUGGAGCGGUGAAAUGCGUAGAUAUCGGAAGGAACACCGGUGGCGAAAGCGGCGCGCUGGAUCUCUACUGACGCUGAGGCGCGAAAGCCAGGGGAGCAAACGGG